GUCCCCUUCGUCUAGUGGUUAGGACACCUGGUUUUCAUCCAGGCAACAGGAGUUCGACUCUCCUAGGGGACG
rnacentral:tRNA from 1 species